CCAGAAACUUUUUACCGAUGAUCUUAUUCUGGCAACAAAUUUUUAAGAUCACAUUAACGAAAAUAGCAGCUUGCAGGCGUACCAGUGACAUCUAAAAUUUUAUUUAUUUAAGCCACUUCAUGCAGUUUUUUAUUUCUUUAUACUAUUUUAUUUCUAUUUUUCCUAUUUUUUGUUUCGGUUCUGUUUCCCUUUUCUGUGUCUUCUUCCUAUCUGG
rnacentral:lncRNA from 1 species